UACGUAGGGUGCGAGCGUUUAAUCGGAAUUACUGGGCGUAAAGCGUGCGCAGGCGGUUUUGUAAGCCAGAUGUGAAAUCCCCGGGCUUAACCUGGGAAUGGCGAUGGAGACUGCAAGGCUGGAGUUUGGCAGAGGGGGGUAGAAUUCCACGUGUAGCAGUGAAAUGCGUAGAGAUGUGGAGGAACACCGAUGGCGAAGGCAGCCCCCUGGGUCAAAACUGACGCUCAUGCACGAAAGCGUGGGGAGCAAACAGG
rnacentral:rRNA from 1 species